rnacentral:piRNA from 1 species
CCACAUUUGCUGUUGUUGUAAAAGCAGA